rnacentral:rRNA from 1 species
UACGUAGGGUGCGAGCGUUGUCCGGAAUUAUUGGGCGUAAAGCGCUCGCAGGUGGUUCGUUGCGUCGUGCGUGAAAGACCCCGGCUCAACUGGGGAGGGUCGUGCGAUACGGGCGAACUGGAGGCCAGUAGGGGGAUGCGGAAUUCCGGGUGUAGUGGUGGAAUGCGUAGAGAUCCGGAGGAACACCAGCGGCGAAGGCGGCAUCCUGGACUGGUCCUGACACUCAUGAGCGAAAGCGUGGGGAGCGAUCCGG